rnacentral:rRNA from 1 species
AGAGUUUGAUCCUGGCUCAGGACGAACGCUGGCGGCGUGCUUAACACAUGCAAGUCGAACGGUAAGGCCCUUCGGGGUACACGAGUGGCGAACGGGUGAGUAACACGUGGGUAAUCUGCCCUGCACAUCGGGAUAAGCCUGGGAAACUGGGUCUAAUACCGAAUAGGACCACAGGACACAUGUCCUGUGGUGGAAAGCUUUUGCGGUGUGGGAUGGGCCCGCGGCCUAUCAGCUUGUUGGUGGGGUGAUGGCCUACCAAGGCGACGACGGGUAGCCGGCCUGAGAGGGUGUCCGGCCACACUGGGACUGAGAUACGGCCCAGACUCCUACGGGAGGCAGCAGUGGGGAAUAUUGCACAAUGGGCGAAAGCCUGAUGCAGCGACGCCGCGUGGGGGAUGACGGCCUUCGGGUUGUAAACCUCUUUCACCAUCGACGAAGGUCCGGGUUUUCUCGGGCUGACGGUAGGUGGAGAAGAAGCACCGGCCAACUACGUGCCAGCAGCCGCGGUAAUACGUAGGGUGCGAGCGUUGUCCGGAAUUACUGGGCGUAAAGAGCUCGUAGGUGGUUUGUCGCGUUGUUCGUGAAAACUCACAGCUCAACUGUGGCGUGCGGGCGAUACGGGCAGACUUGAGUACUGCAGGGGAGACUGGAAUUCCUGGUGUAGCGGUGGAAUGCGCAGAUAUCAGGAGGAACACCGGUGGCGAAGGCGGGUCUCUGGGCAGUAACUGACGCUGAGGAGCGAAAGCGUGGGGAGCGAACAGGAUUAGAUACCCUGGUAGUCC